rnacentral:rRNA from 1 species
UAGGGAAUCUUCGGCAAUGGACGAAAGUCUGACCGAGCAGCGCCGCGUGAGUGAAGAAGGUUUUCGGAUCGUAAAACUCUGUUGUUAGAGAAGAACAAGGACGUUAGUAACUGAACGUCCCCUGACGGUAUCUAACCAGAAAGCCACGGCUAACUACGUGCCAGCAGCCGCGGUAAUACGUAGGUGGCAAGCGUUGUCCGGAUUUAUUGGGCGUAAAGCGAGCGCAGGCGGUUUCUUAAGUCUGAUGUGAAAGCCCCCGGCUCAACCGGGGAGGGUCAUUGGAAACUGGGAGACUUGAGUGCAGAAGAGGAGAGUGGAAUUCCAUGUGUAGCGGUGAAAUGCGUAGAUAUAUGGAGGAACACCAGUGGCGAAGGCGGCUCUCUGGUCUGUAACUGACGCUGAGGCUCGAAAGCGUGGGGAGCAAACAGG